GGGGGGGGUGCUUGUCCGGGCGGUAUUGCUUUUGCUCGUGGUUAUUGGUGACGUGUCCAAGGGAGUGGGCUGUCUGGUUGCUUUUUUCCUUAGUAAGUUUUUUUUUUUUUUUAAUGUUUUCGAUAAUAGUUUCCUGCGGUUGCGAUGCGCAGGGGUCUUGAGCUUGGAUGGCUUCGAAUCUGUUUUUUAUUGGGAUUGCCAUUGGUUGUGGGCUUCUUCUUUGUUUCAUAUUUUCGUUUUUAUCGUCGCGCUCUUCUUGUGAGUCGCUUUCUUCUCCUUUUAAAUUUUCUUGUUUUGUGUUUAUUUUGUUCCUGAUUACCAGGUUUGGGGGCAGAUUGAGUUUCCGCGUCUUUUGUGUAGCAGUUCUUAUGCUGCUAUCUUUAAUUAUUUGUUGUUAUUCUAUUUUUCUUUUGAUUCCUUUUUUUUUGACGAGCUUAUGGCGGAUUCCGCCUCCUUGGUUUCGAUUUCAUUCCUUUCUUCUUCUAUUUUUAUAUUGUUUGUAGAGUGGUUGAUGUUAUCACUAUUUUUUCACUGUUUAGCACUCUUUUUGUUUUUCUUUUUUUUUUUUUUUUGCUCUCUCACUGUCUACUGUGCACUGUAUAGCUUGCCGCGCUCAGUGUUUGGGCCUACGCCUGUUUAUCCCUUAGGCCCGAGAGGUCCGAGCUGCUCGGAGGAUUACGGUCAACUGACGAGAACGAGUGCACUCAGCGCGGUAUGAGCGUUGGCUGAAAUAAAUAAUAUUUUUAUUUGUCUUUGAUCGUCAAAGAAAUAGAAUAUUUAAAGAAACAUUUGUGUGCCAAAAUGAAAAUGAUAUAAUGUAUGCUAAUGGUAAUACUAGGACAUUGCAACUUCUUGAUGCUUAGAAUAUAGAUUAUUAAAAAUUAAUUGUUAAGGAAGCCGAAUUGAUUUUUUGGGAUUACGUUAUUUUUGACUAGGGUGUUAUUUAUGACCAUUUCGAAUAUUUUUUGGUUAUGUUCGCUAGGAUACUUAUAUGUCGCAGGUUUGAGGAUGAGAAGCUGUCUUUAUU
rnacentral:misc_RNA from 1 species